AUUGAACGCUGGCGGCAGGCUUAACACAUGCAAGUCGAGCGAGCUGCGGACUGGUGAGUAAUGUCUUGGAAACUGCCUGCUGGAUGGGGAUACCUACUGGAAACGGUAGCUAAUACCGCAUAACAUCAGCUGUUCCCAGCUGGGAUUAGCUAGUCGGUGGGGUAAUGGCUCACCUAGGCGACGAUCCCUAGCUGGUCUGAGAGGAUGACCAGCCACACUGGAACUGAGACACGGUACGGACUCUUACGGGAGGCAGCAGUGGGGAAUAUUGCACAAUGGGCGCAAGCCUGAUGCAGCCAUGCCGCGUGUGUGAAGAAGGCCGUCGGGUUGUAAAGCACUUUCAGCGAGGAGGCGUUACUCGCAGAAGAAGCACCGGCUAACUCCGUGCCAGCAGCCGCGGUAAUAC
rnacentral:rRNA from 1 species